rnacentral:lncRNA from 1 species
CACCAGACUUGGCGGGCGGCCUCCGUGUGCCAAAAUAGGCCACGGGCACAGCCGCGCCCAAAAAACAGCCCCCGAAGUUCGGGGUCCCAAGACCCCCCAGCGGAAAAAUGGCCAAAAAACGGUGGGCUAUAGCCUUGGUGGGGGGCGUGGGCGAAGUUCGUCCGUGGGACUCGGAAUGGCACCAGACUUGGCGGGCGGCCUCCGUGUGCCAAAAAUAGGCCACGGGCACAGCCGCGCCCAAAAAACAGCCCCCGAAGUUCGGGAUCCCAAGACCCCCCAGCGGAAAAAUGGCCAAAAAACGGGUGGGCUAUAGCCUUGGUGGGGUGCGUGGGCGAAGUUCGUCCGCGGGACUCGGAAUGGCACCAGACUUGGCGGGCGGCCUCCGUGUGCCAAAAAUAGACCAGGGGCACAGCCGCGCCCAAAAAACAGCGCCCGAAGUUCGGGGUCCCAAGACCCCCCAGCGGAAAAAUGGCCAAAAAACGGGUGGGCUAUAGCCUUGGUGGGGGCGUGGGCGAAGUUCGUCCGCGGGACUCGGAAUGGCACCAAACUUGGCGGGCGGCCUCCGUGUGCCAAAAAUAGGCCACGGGCACAGCCGCGCCCAAAAAACAGCCCCCGAAGUUCGGGGUCCCAAGACCCCCCAGCGGGAAAAUGGCCAAAAAACGGGUGGGCUAUAGCCUUGGUGGGGGGCGUGGGCGAAGUUCGUCCGAGGGACUCGGAAUGGCACCAGACUUGGCGGGCGGCCUCCGUGUGCCAAAAAUAGGCCACGGGCACAGCCGCGCCCAAAAAACAGCCCCCGAAGUUCGGGAUCCCAAGACCCCCCAGCGGAAAAAUGGCCAAAAAACGGGUGGGCUAUAGCCUUGGUGGGGUGCGUGGGCGAAGUUCGUCCGCGGGACUCGGAAUGGCACCAGACUUGGCGGGCGGCCUCCGUGUGCCAAAAAUAGACCACGGGCACAGCCGCGCCCAAAAAACAGCACCCGAAGUUCGGGGUCCCAAGACCCCCCAGCGGAAAAAUGGCCAAAAAACGGGUGGGCUAUAGCCUUGGUGGGGGCGUGGGCGAAGUUCGUCCGCGGGACUCGGAAUGGCACCAGACUUGGCGGGCGGCCUCCGUGUGCCAAAAAUAGGCCACGGGCACAGCCGCGCCCAAAAAAAAGCCCCCGAAGUUCGGGGUCCCAAGACCCCCCAGCGGGAAAAUGGCCAAAAAACGGGUGGGCUAUAGCCUUGGUGGGGGGCGUGGGCGAAGUUCGUCCGAGGGACUCGGAAUGGCACCAGACUUGGCGGGCGGCCUCCGUGUGCCAAAAAUAGGCCACGGGCACAGCCGCGCCCAAAAAACAGCCCCCGAAGUUNN